rnacentral:rRNA from 1 species
CUACGGGCCGCAGCAGUGAGGAAUAUUGCACAAUGGGGGAAACCCUGAUGCAGCCACGCCGCGUGGAGGAUGACGCAUUUCGGUGUGUAAACUCCUUUUAUCAGAGAAGAAAAUGACGGUAUCUGAUGAAUAAGCUCCGGCUAACUCCGUGCCAGCAGCCGCGGUAAUGCGGAGGGAGCAAGCGUUAUUCGGAAUCACUGGGCGUAAAGGACGCGUAGGCGGGUUUUUAAGUCAGGUGUGAAAUCCUAUGGCUCAACCAUAGAACUGCACUUGAAACUGGGGACCUCGAGUAUGGAAGGGGCAGGUGGAAUUAGUGGUGUAGGGGUAAAAUCCGUAGAUAUCACUAGGAAUACCGAAAGCGAAGGCGACCUGCUGGGACAUUACUGACGCUGAGGCGCGAAAGCGUGGGGAGCAAACAGGAUUAGAUACCCCUGUAGUC